UACGUAGGGUGCAAGCGUUGUCCGGAAUUAUUGGGCGUAAAGAGCGCGCAGGCGGUAACUCAAGUCAGAUGUGAAAUAUCCGGGCUUAACCCGGAGGGGUCAUUUGAAACUGAGUAACUAGAGUACAGCAGAGGAUAGCGGAAUUCCCGGUGUAGUGGUGAAAUGCGUAGAUAUCGGGAGGAACACUAGUGGCGAAGGCGGCUAUCUGGGCUGAAACUGACGCUGAGGCACGAAGGCCAGGGGAGCAAACGGG
rnacentral:rRNA from 1 species